rnacentral:tRNA from 1 species
UGGGGUAUCGCCAAGCGGUAAGGCACAAGACUUUGACUCUUGCAUGCGGUAGUUCGAAUCUACCUACCCCAGCCA